UAUCCUCUGGGACAAUCUUGGGAAACUGAGCCUAAACCCGGAUAGAAGAUUGGUAUUGGGAAAUUCUUUCUUUGAAAAGUAAUGGCAUAGGAUGGACUGGCGGUUGAUUAGUUUGUUGGUGAGGUAACGGCUCACCAAGACUAAGAUCAAUAGGGGCCUUGAGAGAGGUAACCCCCAGAAGGGCACUGAGGCACUGGCCCUAGCCCUACGGGGUGCAGCAGGUACGAAAUCUCUACACUGCACGAAAGUGUGAUAGGGGAAUUCAGAGUGCUUAUACUUCGGUAUAAGCUUUUGUCAAGAGUAAAAAUCUUGGAGAAUAAGUGGUGGGUAAGACGGGUGCCAGCCGCCGCGGUAACACCUGCGCCACAAGUGGGAGCCGCCAUUAUUGGGUCUAAAGCGUCCGUAGUCGGUUUUGUAAAUUCUUUGUGAAAUCGUGUAGCUCAACUUCACGGCGUGCAGAGGACACUGCAAAACUUGGGACAGGGAGGGGUUUGGAGUAUUCUUGGGGGAGCGGUAAAAUGUUUUAAUCCCAAGAGGACUACCUGUGGCGAAGGCGCCAAACCAGAACUGAUCCGACGAUGAGGGACGAAAGCCAGGGGAGCGAUCAGGAUUAGAUACCCUAGUAGUCCUGGCUGUAAACGCUGCGAGCUAGAUGUUGCGCAACUUUAGAAGUUGCGCAGUGUCGGAGAGAAGUCGUUGAGCUCGCCACCUGGGAAGUACGGUCGCAAGACUGAAACUUAAAGGAAUUGGCGGGGAAGCACUACAAGGGGUGCAGCGUGCGGUUUAAUCCAAUUCAACGCGGAGAAUCUCACCAGAGGCGACGGCAGAAUGAAGACCAGGUUAAAGGCCUUGUCGGACGAGCCGAGAGGUGGUGCAUGGCCGUCGUCAGCUCGUGCUGUAAGGUGUCCAUUUAAGUAUGGUAACGAGCGAGACCUGUAUUUCCAAUUGCUAACGAGUUUCUUCGGAAAUGAUCGAGCACCUUGGAGAGACUGCCUUGGUAACAAGGAGGAAGGUGCAGGCUACGAUAGGUCUGUAUACCCCGAAUCUUCUGGGCUACACGCGCGCAACAAUGGUAGGUACAAUGGGUCGCAACUCCGAAAGGAGGAGCUAAUCCUCUAAAGCCUAUCUUAGUUUAGAUCGAGGAUUGUAACUCAUCCUCGUGACAUCGGAAUCCCUAGUAAUCGGACUUUAUCACAGUCCGGUGAAUAUGUCCCUGCUUCUUGCACACACCGCCCGUCAAACCAACCGAGCAUGGUCUAGGUGAGGCCUACCUUUUAGGUAUUUCAAAUCUAGGCUAAGUGAGGUGGGUUAAGUCGACACAAGGUA
rnacentral:rRNA from 1 species